rnacentral:rRNA from 1 species
UAAUACGUAGGGUGCAAGCGUUAUCCGGAAUUAUUGGGCGUAAAGCGUUCGUAGGUGGUUUGGAAAGUUUGUGGUUAAAUCUGGUCGCUCAACGAUCAAAUCGCUACAAAAACUCCCAAGCUAGAGAUUGGCAGAGGCAACUGGAAUUCCACAUGUAGGGGUAAAAUCCGUUGAUAUGUGGAGGAACACCAAAAGCGAAGGCAGGUUGCUGGGCCAUUUCUGACACUGAGGAACGAAAGCGUGGGGAGCAAACAGGAUUAGAUACCCUGGUAGUCCACGCCGUAAACGAUGGAUACUCGAUGUAGGGAGGAAUCGACCCUUCUCUGUGUCUAAGCUAACGCGUUAAGUAUCCCGCCUGGGGAGUACGGUCGCAAGAUUA